rnacentral:lncRNA from 1 species
CUUAAUUUGAUAUUUGACUUUUUAUUAAUGUUAUUAUGUCUUCUGCAGUAUCUUUGAGAUGCUGUAUAAUAGUUUUACUGCUUGUAAUGUUCACAAAUUAUUUCUAAUAUAAUAUAUGCUGUCAACGUCUUAGUAGUUCGGAUUUCUUAAGAAAGACUAGGUUACUGCAGACAUGACAUUUUUUGUGUUAAGAAAAUUACUGGUAUUUCAAUAAAAUCGCUUAAAAAUAUUUAUAAAAAAAUAUUCAAUUAUGAAGUGAAAUAUGAAAAAGUCUAAAGAGAAGGCGGAAAUGUUGACCUGAAAGUUAAUUUUUGUGGGCCUUAUCUACAGUGUAGUUGUACUUGUUUCUUAUUGAAAUCACUACAUGGAUAGUGGUCAGUAAUGUUUAUUUAUAGGUAUCAGAAACACAUGGUUGUGUGAAUUUAUACCACUUUAUUAAGAAUUCUUUUUUUUAUUUAAUGAUAAAAUGUAUUGUACAUGUAUCAAAAGUAAAAAUAUAUAAGAUAUUUUUCCAACUGACAUUACUAUUAAUUAAUGUUCAAAACUGAAUAACUGAGAUGAAUUGGGUGUAGACUAAUGCUUUCAUAUACAUUGUAUUGUAACUUUUUUUCUAUAUGUCCCAUUAAGUCAAUUGAAAAUGCAGUAUAUAUAGUCUGGUAUACAAGUCAACUUAAGAUAAAAUCAAACUGGCAUAAAAUAAACACUUGUUGCAUAUUUUUCAUGUCUGUGCCUUAAAUAGCUGAAUAAACGGAAUGGGUGUUUCUCAUUGUUUAAGCCAUACGGUUGCCUAUAAUUGAUUUGAUCAACUUAUUUGAACUUUGUUGGAUAGUUGUCACAUUGGCAAUCAUACCACAUCUCCAUGUUUUUAUAAUAGAACUCAAGUGAUCAUGAUGGUCAGUUUUACCUUAUAUGGUAUGAGUUUGCUCAUUGUUAAAGGCCAUACAUUACCCUAAAGCUGUUAUAAUCAUCCUCCUUUUGUCUCUGGUGGUUGGUUGUCUCAUUGGCAUGUCCUUAUUUUUAACUAUUGUAAACUUGAUUACUAAAUCAGUGAACUAAUUAGGCAUUUUACUAGUGCAGGAGAAUCUAGGAAACACAUUAACUCGAAUAAUUCAAGCCCUUUCCGUGUGAGAGAGAGCCAAUCAGCGGCGAUCAGGAUAUGAGUCUGCGCAACUCUCUUGAAAUUGUCUUACCAAACACGUGUGUUCAAUUAACACAAAUCUGAUAAUAAUUAAUUAACAUCAAUUAACAUCAGUUUACAUCAUUUAACAUCAAUUAACAUCCGGAACUCCUCCUUCUUUAGCUGCCAAUUUAAAUCAAAAUUCCCAUAUUGCAAAGCGGUGUGAAUUUUCCGGUUGACGGUCUUGAUCGAGGAAGACGUUCAGGCGUUAAUGUAGCCUUCGUAGAUCAGCGGAAUAUAACGACUGAAUUAUUCGGGUUAGGAAACACAUUUGUUGACAUUAAAAUCAGAAUUUUAUAGUUAACAUUGUAGUGAUUUCUGUUGUGCUUAGUCUACACCCAUUUAAAGGAUCUGAGAAACAGUUAUUUAUACCCUGUUCACAUCAAAAUCAGAUUCGAAAUUUAAUUUGACAAAGAUACUGAUUUGUGUUCAUACAUAUUCUGGAUUAAAUUCAUAUUUGUGAAUCGGGGGGUCAAAUGAUUUGAAGUAGCUAGUUUGACAUUUGAUUUCAUCUAGCAUCAGAUUUGAAUCUGGAAUAAAUAUAUGUGUGACUGCAUAAUUUAUCUAUCAAAUGCAUGUAUAAAUCUUCAUAUUUUGUGGAAUUUAAUCUAGAAUUACAAAAUAAUAUUAAAUAGAACCAACUUUCAACAAGUGUGAACUCAAACUUCCUUAUAUUUGUAUAUGAUAAACUGAGAUGAACAUCUCAUUUCAUUCUUAUUUAAAUAUAACAUGUGUGUGAAGUUGUGAACAGAGUAUUAGUUAUUUAAUUAAUUGUAAUUAAUCAUUUCAUAACCUUUCCAGAAACCAAUCAGAAUGUGUUUUUAAUGUUAUUUUUAUAUAUGUUAAAUGUGUAGCACGAUAUUAGAUUUUAUAUUUAAACCAUUGACCUCACUGUAUGUACUAAAACCAACAUAUAUCAUUAUUGUGUGUACUGUUAUUGUUAAGUCGGUUGUGAUUACUCUUACAUGGUAACCAUGUAAUUAUUUAAACAUAUUGCCAUAUUUUAUAUGUUUACAAUUCUUUUUCAAUAAAACAGAUUUAAAUCAGUUCUGUUG